rnacentral:lncRNA from 1 species
CCAUGUAUAAGUGGUUCUGACAUACCUAUGCCACCGAGGAGCUCUGCCGCGGCCCACAAUUCUUCUGAACUCAUUCUGAGUUUCCGAGUUACAGAACUGCGUUGUUUAUGGCAUUUUCAAGGUCUCUUCUGGAAAGCAGUGAAGCCUAGUGGAAAGACCAUGAAUCUGAAAUCAGAGUACCUGGGUUCAAAUCCUGACUCUACCACUUGUCUCCUGGUUGACCUGGGGAAAGUCACUUAAAUCCUCUGCACCUCAGUUUCCUCAUCUGCAAAAUGUGGAUUAAAUGCUUUUUUCCCCCACUCUCAGACUGUGAGCCUUAUCUGGGACAGGGACUAUGUCUGAACUGAUUAUCUUGUAUAUAUUCCAGUAGUUAGUACAGUGUCUGGCAGAAAAAUGGACAACAGGACCCCCCCCCCCCCCCGUCCCCCAAACAACUGUUCCAUGAUUUCAUUCAUUCGUAUUUGAGCGCUUACUGUGUGCAGGGCACUGAACUAAGUGCUUCUAGAAGAGUUGGACAGAAGUGAAGCUCUAAAAGACACAAUGAUGCUGAUGUUGAAAUGAGGCCAAAAAGAAAAGAUGAGCAGCAAAACAUAGGUCAGCCCCUUGGCUGGCCGUCAGAAGUGGGGUUGAUCUAGAACAAAUGGCUUUGAGAAGAUUAUGAUACAAAGAGAAAAGUAGCACGGUCUAGUGGAAAGAGCUCGAGUCUAGGAGUCAUAAGGACCUGCAUUUUAAUCCCAGUUCUGACUCCUGUCUGCUGCAUCAACCUGGUCAAUUUACUUCACUUCUCUGGGCCUCAAUUACCUCAGCUGUAAAAUGGGGAUGGAGACUGUGAACCCCAAGUGGGACAGAGACCAUGUGCUACCUGAUUAGCUUAUAUCUGUCCCGGUAUUUAGAAGAGUGCCUGCCACAUACUAAGAACUCAAUACCAUAUACAUAUAAACAUAUUUAAAAUGUUUUAAUAAUUUUUCAUAAUCAAUGCACUUGGGUAAAAAGGAGCAAUCUUCACAUGCCCAACAUGGAGAUUAUCAGUCAUUAAUUGGCAUGCUUAGACAGAACCCCACACAGUGACACAGUGAUAAAGUCUUAGCAUCAAUAGCCUGAUCUGCAUCUGAUAUACGAAAAUUGAGAAACAAAGCAUACAAAUUAAAAAUAAAAGUAC